AAUUUGUACUGCUACUCUCUAUUUCCACAGCAGGAAGAUUAAACAACCAAGCACAAAGAUGAACAGCCAACAAUUUUCUGAAUAGUGUAAAAAAAAUUUACUUACCUUUUACAGUUGCUGAUGAGGACCGAGGAGGCGAGGACUGAGAACUGAGAAAGACUGAGGACUGAGGAAGACAGAGGAUUGAGGACAACCAAGUUACUGACAGCGUUGAGAGCCGAUGGACUGGAGAGCGACGGCCGAAGAUUGCGUGGAGAGCGACGACCGACGAUUGUGUGGAGACUGGAGAGAGAGAAUAGAGAGCUACAGUGGAGAGCGACGACAGUCGGCGACUCAGCGUUGCAAGUGAAGAUCGAUGACCCGAGUUAGCCGCGAUGGUUAAUCGGUCGAUGUCGGGAGGAGAGUGAAGGUUGGACGGUGGACGGUGGACCCGCUGGAAGUGGUGGAGCUCCUCAGUGCUCAGAGAAGAGGCACAGGUGUGACGGGAGGGGUGAGGCGGCGUGGAAUCUGCGUCUCUACUCUCAAUGGCACAUCUUUUAGAUUUAGGGCAAAUGCUUAUAAGGGUAUAUUUCAAAACGACGUAGUAUAGGUGAUUUCGGUUCGGUUCGGUUUAAUCGAAAUUUUUGAAUCUAAAAUCGAACUGAACCGAAAUAACCGAAAUUUCUAAAAUUAAAAACCGAACCGAAAUAUAUAAAAAACCGAACCAAAAUUUCAAAUCGGUUCGGUUCGAUCGGUUUUUUCGGUUUAAACCGAAUUAUGCUCAGCCCUA
rnacentral:lncRNA from 1 species